CCUUCCGUACGAGAUAGGACUUCUGAAGAAAACCACUACUUUCGACGCCAGUAUCAAUCAGUUGACUGGUCCCAUACCACAUUCCUUCGGCUGUCUGCAGCAGAUGAAUCAGCUAAACUUGUCGUGUAACCAUUUAUACGGGCCGGUUCCUGAGACGGUGUGCGUGCUGCCAAAGCUGAGUGCACUAACACUGAACAACAAUUACUUCACACAGGUUGGGCCGGAAUGCCGGAAGUUGAUCUUGAAGAAAAAGCUGGAUGUAAGGAUGAACUGCAUUUUAGGUCUUCCAUCACAGAGAUCUCCAGCAGAAUGUGAUGCCUUCUUCUCCAAGAAGGUAAAGUGCCCAAACGAGAAGUCAAUGAGAUAUGUCCCCUGCAAGAUUAGUCAGUCAAAUGCCGAGGAUCCCUCCAAAGGGUCAGUGACACCUGAGAUCGCCCCAGCACCAUCACCUUCUUAUGCGGCACUCAAUAGGAACCGAUAGCAAGUAAAGUUAUUAGACAGGGCUAAAGCAAUUGUCAUGUGGUUUCUGCCAGAAAAAUAAUGGGGCACAGCAGCUUUCUGUACUUAGUUUUUUUAAUAUUUGCAUCAUGCAUUGUAACUUCAAGCAUGUAAGUUUCUCGUGAAUUUUAAGUAUCAUUUGAGUAUAGUAAAUUAAUGCAGUUGAAGUUGUCCAUUUGCAUAGAGUCGAGUAAACUUUUGUAGAUCUAUUAACUUGACUAUCGAGAGACCUGAAAAGAUAAUAUAAUCAAACAAAAGAAAAACGAAACCUCUCUGUUAUCAAACAAGAGAGUGAAUAGAAAUGGGGAGGACCUUUGUCUAGAAGGACCCUUUGUCUAUUAGUACAGUAGCCACAUGGUCAAGUAAAUCAUAAUACACUACAAAUUCAAGAUCCUGCAAGUGAAAAUCCAAUAGCCUAAAGAAUAAAAACAGGAUAAAUGUAGCACCCACAGUCGACCCUGUUAUUAAGGACUUCAGAAGAAAUACAUGCAACUAUUAUUCCAUGACUUUACAAAUUCAGUAUCCACAGCAUAGAGUACAACAUUAAGCAAUCAAAUGCAAAAUACAUCAUUUAUAUCAAGCUUAAACUGACAAUGGAAGAGAUGGGAUUUUGUAUUUCACUCCACAAAAUUUGUUUGGACUUUGCUAACUAAAUGCUCUCCAUAGCAUGCUCUUCCAAACUUCCUGGUUCCACCGGUUCUCCCCACACCCACACAGACAUCUAAAGGCUCCACCGGGACAUUGAAAUUGGGCUGUUUGUAAAACAUUAAUUAGUGUUCAGAAAAGAACUGGAUUCAACAAAAAGAAAUGCACAAAGGAGAUUCCAGUCAAGAAAUUAACCUCAUAAAAGUAUGCUACACAGACUCGAUGUCUUGAGCAACUAUUAAUUACGCGAUGCAACGUUGAGUCAUAUAAGCCAUUGGACCAAAUCUGCAGUUGUCCAGACCAAAAAUUGAUUUGCCAAUCCAGCACAAAGUCAGAAAUGAACAUCAAGGAGUCUUCUUCUCCAAGUUUAUACCUUAAGCAUGUCGCCUAUGUUGCAAACAAAUGUUCCUGGAAUAGGAACAGCAGAGAUCCACUCACCAGAGAGGUUCUUGACCUUCAAAAACUCACCCAGAUCAAAAUGAACGUAAUAGAGGAGCUAUGAAGUUUUGAUAACCGAAAUGCGUGGCAGGUUUUCACUGAAUAAGGUAUAAUACUGAUUGUAAUUUAUUACAGAAUGUGAUCUGAUACCAUUCAAGAUUUAAACCUUCUCACUCAUUCUGCAUGAUCUAACACCAAUAGAAUGAGAUGACAAUAACAACAACAAACUAAGCAGAGGAUCAAUCAGAAUGAGUAACAUGAGAAAUUUAUAUUGCAGAGGCAACCUAUGGGAUGGCAAAAAUUAGGAGCUGUAUUUAUGACCAUGGUUGUGCAGCUGCUCUGAACAUUAAAGAAACUACUUAACAAUCAGGAUAGAUAGACCCAAACAUAUUCUGAUGAUCAAAUCUAAAUCCAUUUUCGUCAAUGUCAAUCAUCUAUUGAGAGCCUCCUUGGUUUGGUCUAAAGAGGAUAUUCCAAAUUCCACUUGGCCAUUAUUAAAUUGACUGCAAUCUUUGUCUUGGUGGGAACUAGCAUGGCAUCUAAUUUUCCUUUAAUCCAAACCAAACAACUAACUGUUGUAUUUACUGCCAAAUUCGAUAUAUUAUAAAUGUUGUGAAAAACAUUAUGGUGACUUGAGAUGUUACUUAUACGUUCUAAAGAGUGAAGUGUUCCAUAAUGAAAAGCUAAUAUCAAUUUCUAAAAGUCAAAAGGAGAAGAAUAACAAAAGUUAAAAGCAAAGCCACACCAAACAUACACUGCCAUUUGGAAUGACCAACAGCCUGGACUAGAAAACGUACUCAUACAUGUCAUCUUGAAAUUCCAAGAACUGACUUCUCUAAGGAAUUAGCAGAACAAUUUGAAUCAAUUUAAUACUUAACUCAGUCUCACUUGUUCUGUAAUUACUCUUUAAUGAUUAAGAACUAAUUUAAAAUAUCAAAACUAAAACAUUAAAAGAAAUUGCAACUGUACCUGAAGAGCAGUGAUGUCAUCCUCCUGAUUCACCAGAGUCAACAAACCCGUAACAUAGCAUCAUAACUCAUUGUCCUUUAUUUCAAGUAUGAAAUCCUCUAAAGACUCAGAAAGUUACCAUAAUCAGUGUGCGCUCCGCUGUUUGCUUCAUGCACAACAAGAAAAGAAAAGAAAAACUGCAUGAGGGACUAAAGUAAUGAAGAAUUCUAGAGUACAAUCAUUGACAAUGAAUUAACUCGCGAUGAGAGGACAAAUGUAUUACCAUCCAAUGUCAUUUUCAGAACUUCCAAGGCCAUUUGCUUUUGAUGCACCUGGAUAACUGAUUAUACGCAAUACCCAAAAUGGAUCUCCAGCUCUUUGACCUUCAAAUUCAUUUGGGGAUCCGCCUAAUGCUAAUGCAAUACCUCAUGAUCUUUCUUGAAAGUUCUAGGAACAAUCAGAAUCAUGUGUACAAAAAUGAUGGAUAAGAAAAGUAUUGACAGAGAACCACUAAUCAAGAGUCCAUACCAGUGCAAAGGCUAACGUAUUCCUCCAUGAUUGGCUUUAAAUCUGAAGGAUUAACUGGCCUGCAUUGGGGACAAAAGAAAAAUGCGUUAACACAUUCCAGAAAAAAUCAGCAACACGUAACUCAAUCCAAAACAAGCUAUCAUAUACCUGAAUGUUGUUAGCAGUGUUAAGAGAUGUGCAAUGAAUUAAAUGAAAAGGCUGAGCUUAUGGAAGAAAUAAUAUCUAUAAUUUUCACGAAAGGACUCUAUCUCAAGUUUAGUUUGCUAAAUGGAUGAAUUCCAGACAUAUUUACUACUCAUAUGUGCAUUUAAUUGAACAAUCAUUAUAUUAACUAGUGCUGGAAGAAUGAGGAACGGCAAAGUGAUAGAUCAACAUGGGACCUAAGUUUAUACAUAAUGCCACUGCCCAAUUGCCACUGUCCAUUUGCUCAGCUCAGUUUGAUGACAUUGACAUAAUGAUGGACCUAAGGAAAACAAGCAUGACGAGUACUAAAGUUUCUUAUGAUUAAUACUUGCUACUGAUGACGAACAGUUAAAAGGAACGGUGCUCUUGUCAGGGUACAACCCUGAUCGUGCCCCCUGAUUGCUCCCCCGCAUGGCCACUAGACCAAAUGUCUAGUGACACGGUUAAAGGGGCUACAAAAUAAGAGACGUAGACAAUUAUCUUAGGUUAGAGUUCUUGAUUCAACAUACCACUGAUUACAUCCUUCCAUGACCUUGCCAAGUUCUCCAUACAUCCCUUGCCUCACUUCUCUGUAACACUGCUCCAAAUAUCACAUUUUAAGUCAUUGCAGUGGGAGGGAGAUAACAGCGUGGGAGACAGCAGCAGAAUACUAUGAUAACAUCUCAGUAUCAUCAUCCCAAUACCAGUGCAGGCUCCACAUUCAGUGAUAUGGAUCCCCACCUAAAGGACUAUAUAACUGCGCAAUUCAUAGUGGAAUAACAUUGACAUAAUUUGUAUGAGUUUCAUGCAGAGAAAUUCUGUUCGCUUGAAUUAAAGAUUGCCUAAGACUUUCACAGAUUGAACAGUGCUAAUCAAAACACUCCACUUCAAUGGAGCUAAACAAAUUAUCCAAGAGAAAAGGCAUCCCGGAAAACAUGAAUGCUUUUAAUGAUUAGAGAACCCUACCAUACAGGGACAAGUCAUAUGAUACCAGGGAACUGUUACUGUUCAAUCAACAUGAUAUAAUAAUCUUGUACUUAAGGCAAGUAUAUCUGAACAGCAACCAAAACAUUGGUGAAGCAACCUACGUCAAUGGCCCCAUGCAUUUCAGGUACACCUUUUGUGAUAUUUUCAUGAAGUCUCUGGUAUACCCUGCAAAAAAAUGUUAAAAGUCAUGUUUAAGCUAAUUAGCAAUUCACCUGGAAACUAGUAUAAACUUGCAAUAUUACAUGAUUAUAAUUUUCCUAGGAAUGAAAAAGCGGAAAAACCGUAGAAAUACGGGUAUAGGGAGGUGUAGUGACCAGAAUCAGAUCAUGAUGCUGGAUAGAGGUUUUGCAUGACCAUUUUUUUUUUCUGUAUACUGGCCAAGCUACUUUACCAUCAAUAUCAUAUGGGAAUGACAAUUGGUAGGUCAUUAGAUUCCUUGAAGCACCCUUUUUGGAAGCUUAUUUUGUUUUGCUAAUUAAGUAAGCUGUGUAUUCCUCACCACUCACAUGUGGGAGGCAAACGUUUGGGGAGCUUAUUUUCUAAAGCUUAACUAUAGGACAUGAUAUUCUUUCUGAUUUAUUUGAAUCAGUGUUUUCUCUGUAAUUUGAUCCUUCUGUUCAUGUUCUACAACAAGCCAAAAAUUAUUAACAGUUUAUGGACAUCUUGCUGCAUAGAAAAUUUAAGAUAAGAGAACACAGGUUGUGAUUCUAUUUGCUGCUUCCAUCCCAUGUUCUACAAUAAAGUAAAACUUAUUAACAAUUCAUGAGCAUUUAACUGCAUAUCAAAUCACAGAGAAGAGAACACAGCUAGUGAUUGAUCUAAAGUUGACAAUCGUCAAAAGGACAUUUCAAGAAUGCUAGGGGAGUCUAACCUGUAUCCUGCCACUGGAGUCAUGAUCGAUCUAAAGUUGACAAUUGUCAAAAGGACAUUUCAAGAAUGCUAGGGGAGUCUAACCUGUAUCCUGCCGCUGGAGUCAUCUUGAUCUUGAACUUCUCUUCAUAAGGAAGUUCAAAAACUUCGUGCGUCAAGAACCUUUUUAAUGAGGGAGUUGGGAAUACCAUGGCCCUUCUGGUCAAUGACAAAGUUUACACACUUCCACAUCACUGAAGAAUGAAUGAGGAAGCACACAAUAGUCCUGCUUUUCCCCCCCACUGAACUAAAAACAAGACAGUUUUUAACAGCAACAUGCUUUUUUAUGUAAUUUCUGCGAUUGCCAUGCCUAAAACUCCAUUUGAGUUUUAAGUUCCCAUUCCUCACUCUACAAACUCAAGUAAACUGACAAAAGAAGCUCCCGCAAUAAUAUUGUACUUAUUAUCAAUGAAAAGGCCUAAUUAAACAACCUUUCACCCUAAAAAACUCAACAUCUCAAGAAUGGUUCUAUCAGGAGACCGACCCACAAUGCACAUCAAACAUACUUCUUAAAAAAGACUAGAUGAACCAACAGAGGCAAGAGAUUCAAUACAGCUUAUACUGGGAACAUUAACAACUGAAUACGAAAACAAGUUCGGAUGCAACCACGUGUUCACGCAUUCGGCAAAACAAGAUAACAAGCACAUAUUCGCCGACCUUGAUGUUAUGGACGGCGACCACAUAAAUUUCUGCCAUCAAAUACAGAAUCCCACUGCAAAGCACUCCGAUUGAUUUGAAAACAGCUUAGUAAGCUCGCGCUUGCGUUUUCAGCAACUGGGUCGACGCUAAGCUACCCGAAGGAGCGAGCGGGGACAAAGUCACUGACCACGUCGAAGAAACCAGCCUCCCUACAAGCCUGAUCCAACUGCCUGACAACUUCAGCCACGCCCGGGUCUUCACCCAUGUCCGGAUCAUCGCACUUGGCCAUGAGGGGACCCAUAUCUGCAGAACAAGAUUGAAACGCACUGGAUUGAACGUCGGGUCGAUUAGGCCAGGUGCCCACAGAGGGCAUUGUUCCCUUGUUGUGGUGGGCGAGGGUCGGCCGACGGCCCUUGCCAACGCCUCAACCAAAGAGAGAGAGUAAGAACAAAAUAGAAAAUAAAAAAAAUGAAAAACAAAAAAAAAUUAUAAAAUAUUAUUAAAAAUGUUUACAUUAGCACCGAUUAUGUGAUAUGGAACAGUUUUAUGCAUUUAUGUUAGCAAUUUUCAAUCAAAAUUGGUGGAUGAAUUGAAUUGGGAUGAAAAUAAAAGAUGUAUAAAUAAAUUGAUCCAAUUAAAAGAUUUGAUACUAAAUUGAUACAAAGGUAAUAAUUUUAUGACUUUUUUUUUCUAUGGAUUACCACUACAAUGAGUAGGAGUUUAAUCUAACUAAUGACUCAACUUGUCAUCUAUGUUAUUCUUCCUCUCCAAAGAUUUCACGGGACAUUCCCUUAAGAGUGAUUGGUUUCCGGUCCGGUUUAGUUCUAUUCAAGAAUUGGUCACUUAUUUAAAAUGAAGAUGAAAUUAAGAAAGGAAGACGGUGAGAAUUCUUAGCUUUUCUCCGGUAAAAUAAAAAAGGUUCGACCAAUCAAUUAGAGAAAUCUUCCAUGCUUUUCUCUGGCAAAUUUCAGUCCGGUUCUCCUUUGAAAACGAGAACCAGACUACCCAAAUACCAGUUAUACUUUUAUAAAUCAGUAAUUAGACCUAACGGCCGGUUCGAUUUAGUUCGAGCGGUUCCCUAUCUAGUCAGUCCAUCUUGCUCACCCCUAAUUUUCUUGACAAAUUUCUCGCAAAUUCUGAUCACCAAUAGUGUAGGCAAAGCAAUACAAAUUUUGUAAAACAAGAAACGUGAGGAUUAAAACUCACUCAAUAUUACCUUUUGAGUCGGAUUAUAAGAACAAGAUCUGUGGCGAGCCUCCCCAACUGCAUUACGUGUAGUAUGUCGGACCUGAUGGGAAAGGCGAAUUCGCGGUCAAAACUCUCGUUCGGCAUUCUCCUAUCUUCUUCAGUCUGGAUAGUGUUUCCCCCUUCUCUCUCGAGAGAGAAACAGGUGGGAGCAUAGGACGUACUGAUAGCUUUCUUGCAGGGUUUUCAUAUGCGGAGAGACCCAGCAAAUGCAAUACUCCGAAGACUUUUCAACGACCCGACUCAACUACGUUCACUGACUGAGGCUUGUCUCUUUUCAUGCAGGAGCAGACCCACCAUGUCCUUGCUUCUCUUUUUGAGGCCUAGCUCUCCAUUCACGGGAUUCUACCAGGAGAAUGUCACCGCGACCUGGAAUGGCAAAGGAGUCAAGAUCUGCAAUUACACGGGCUUCACCUGUGCAACUGUACCCGGCUACGAGAUGUUGGGUCUCACCAGCGCGGACUUCCAUGGCUUCGGCUUCUGCAAUGACUAGGGACAGCUCACUAUCGAUAACUUCAUUGAGAAACUACCCGAUCUCGUAUUCUUUCAUGCAAACUCCAACGACAUUACCGGCCGCAUCCCCUCCAGUAUUUCCAUGCUCAAGUAUUUCUACGAGCUCGACUUGAGCAACAACAAGCUACAAGGAACAUUCCCAAUGACCGUUCUAGGCGUCACCGGGCUCACUUUCUUGGAUCUCAGGUUCAACAACCUAAUUGGACCGUUACCACCUCAAGUAUUCACUGUGGACCUCGAAGUUCUCUUUCUCAACAAGUAGUUCAAUGGGACAAUCCCGGAAAAUCUCGGUAAAACACCCGUAAGUUAUCUCACCCUAGCCAACAACAAGUUCACAGGCCCAAUCCCUCGGAGCAUAGGGCAAACUUCAAAGUCGUUGCUAGAGGUGCUGUUCCUGAAUAACCGAUUAUCGUGUUGCCUUCCAUAUGAGAUAGGACUCCUGAAGAAAACAGCUACUUUCGACGCCAGUAUCAAUCAGUUGACUGGUCCAAUACCACAUUCCUUCGGCUGUCUGCAGCAGAUGAAUCAGCUAAACUUGUCGUAUAACCAUUUAUACGGGCCAGUACCUGAGAUGGUGUGCGUGCUGCCGAAGCUGAGUGCACUAACACUGAACAACAAUUACUUCACACUGGUUGGGCCAGAAUGCCGGAAGUUGAUCUUGAAGAAAAAACUCGAUGUAAGGAUGAACUGCAUUUUAGGUCUUCCAUCACAG
rnacentral:lncRNA from 1 species